CCGCGGAGUCGGUGCCGGAGCGUCGUAAAAAGAGCCGCAACCCGAAGGGGCGGGGGAACUGUGCGCUGAUGCUCAGAGCAUGCGCAGAUUCUCCGGUGAGACGCUUGUGGACUUGGAGCUGCUCGGGGUUUUAGAAUUAGUUCCCCAGGCAGCCUGUGAAGGGCCUUCCCUGGUCCUUCUACGCAGUAUGAGUUUUCAAACUAGGGGUGGAGACCUCAAGAACAUCUCAAGUGGAUGAAAGGUUAUCUUCUAAGGACUGAAGCUUCACCAGAGCAGGAAGAAGAAUUACACAGCCACUGGAGCCAUAGUAUCUACCGACGCUGGAGGCGGGCGGCCAGAGCAGGGCUCCCGUGCUGCAGCCUCUCUUUCCCCCAGACGCCCCGGAGAUUUCAUCUUAAUUAACCAUGAGAGCUAUAACA